AGAGUUUGAUCAUGGCUCAGGACGAACGUGGCGGCGUGCCUUACACAUGCAAGUCGCACGAGAAAGGGAACUUCUCCGCUUUGAUCCCAGCUUGCUGGGAGAUUCGCAGAGAACCCAAGUACAGUGGCGAACGGGAGCGUAACACGUGAGAAACCUGCCUCGGAGUGGGGAACAAGCACGAGAAAUCGUGGCUAAUUCCGCAUGACGCAGCGGCCCCGCAUGGGGACAGUUGUUAAAGACGGCCUCUUCUUGAAAGCGGUCGCUUCGAGAUGGUCUCGCGGCCUAUCAGCUAGUUGGUGGGGUAAUGGCUCACCAAGGCUACGACGGGUAGCCGGCCUGAGAGGGUGUCCGGCCUCAUUGGGACUGAGACACGGCCCAGACUCCUACGGGAGGCAGCAGUGAGGAAUCUUGCGCAAUGGGCGGAAGCCUGACGCAGCGACGCCGCGUGAGGGAUGAAGGCCUUCGGGUUGUAAACCUCUGUCAGGAGGGAAGAAACCGGGGUCGGUGAAUAGCCGGUCCCAUUGACGGUACCUCCAGAGGAAGCACCGGCUAACUCCGUGCCAGCAGCCGCGGUAAGGCGGAGGGUGCAAACGUUGUUCGGAAUCACUGGGCGUAAAGAGCACGUAGGCGGGCCCGUAAGUCAGGAGUGAAAUCUCGGGGCUCAACCCCGAGCCUGCUUCUGAAACUGCGGGCCUUGAGGACCGGAGAGGAAAGUGGAAUUCCUAGUGUAGCGGUGGAAUGCGUAGAUAUUAGGAAGAACACCAGCGGCGAAGGCGACUUUCUGGACGGUUCCUGACGCUGAGGUGCGAAAGCUAGGGGAGCAAACAGGAUUAGAUACCCUGGUAGUCCUAGCCGUAAACGAUGAGUGCUGGGUGGUGGUGGUUUCAACGCCUUCACUGCCGAAGCUAACGCAUUAAGCACUCCGCCUGGGGAGUACGGCCGCAAGGUUGAAACUCAAAUGAAUUGACGG
rnacentral:rRNA from 1 species